CCAGACUCCUACGGGAGGCAGCAGUGGGGAAUAUUGGGCAAUGGGCGGAAGCCUGACCCAGCAACGCCGCGUGAAGGAAGAAGGCUUUCGGGUUGUAAACUUCUUUUCUCGGGGACGAACGGAUGACGGUACCUGAGGAAUAAGCCACGGCUAACUACGUGCCAGCAGCCGCGGUAAUACGUAGGGGGCAAGCGUUAUCCGGAUUUACUGGGUGUAAAGGGAGCGUAGACGGCGACGCAAGUCUGGAGUGAAAGCCCGGGGCCCAACCCCGGGACUGCUCUGGAAACUGCGUCGCUGGAGUACGGGAGGGGCAGGCGGAAUUCCUGGUGUAGCGGUGAAAUGCAUAGAUAUCAGGAGGAACACCGGCGGCGAAGGCGGCCUGCUGGACCGUGACUGACGUUGAGGCUCGAGAGCGUGGGGAGCAAACAGGAUUAGAUACCCUAGUACUG
rnacentral:rRNA from 1 species